rnacentral:misc_RNA from 1 species
GUGAAUCAUCAAAUUUUUGAACGCAGAUUGCACUCUCCUCGGAGAGUAUGCCUGUUUGAGGGUCAGCCUAUAAAAAAUCGACAUCGUUGCUGUUUUGCGGUGCGUUCGUAGGAAAUUGGGUUAUCUUAAAUCCUUCUGAUUUAAGCGACUUAAAAUAUUAUUUUGGUUCCGUGAAUGUUUCUAAGAUCUAUUUAUUUACAUGAUUAAGGUAUUGAUUUUUAUUAGACGUGAUUAUAAUAUCGGACUGCGCCUAUAAUAUUACAUC